CCUUGGGUUGGGUUUGGGCAGAGAACCUAAGCUCUUAUUCACAUAUUGAACUUUGUGUUAUUGUGUUCUCAGUGACAUGUUGAACUACACUGCCAGUUUGAGGGAAUGUCAUUGCCAUCCACUGCAAAGGAGGCAAAGGGCGCACGGGUACGAUGGUGUGUACAUGGUUGAUUGACAGCGUUUAGUUUGAGAGUGCGCAGGUGUGGGAAAGGGCAAUGGCAGUGAUCUGAAGGUGCGGAUCAUAGUGAAAAGAGAGCAGGUGUUCCAGUGUGUCUGUGCCACGCAGACGAACUGUAGGCUGUUCCCAGAUACUGAAAACAAUGCCGUGGUGAUCAGCUUUCAGGAAGGGCCAGUGGUUUGUGGUGAUGUUAAGGUCAUGUUUGAAUCCAGGGCUGGUCUUCCAAAGGGGUAUGAGGACUAUCCUUUCUAUUUCUGGUUCAACACUUCAUUUGUAGAGAACAACAGGCUCUAUCUGUCAAGGGAGGAACUGGACAACCCACGUAAGUCCAAAACCUGGGACAUCUACAAGGAGGACUUUGGUGUGACCGUGUCUUUCAGUGACCCUGCACUUAUGUAGCAGACGACACUUGCUUGUGUAUCUCAACUAAAACCCUUAAGCCCUGCACAAGGUCUAAAUCUUUGCUCUAAUGUAGGUUUUCACACACUUAUAAAAGGUGAGUGAUGUUUAGGGAUUGGAUUCGGGCUAUAUAACCUCAACUUUAUGUCCAUCCCCCAUCUUCACUGUAAGAGCUUUUUACUGAGCCGUGCGUUACACCACAAUAUUAUGCAUUUGUUUGUCAAAUGUUUUUUUUGUCUUUAA